GAUCUUUAAAUUUGGAAGUUUUUUGCUUAAACAAUAAGUGUUCUUUUGAACUAUGGACAUAAACGCGCUCAUAAUAAGCGGAUCGGACCAGGGGGCGGUACCCUGCGGCUCCACCAAACUUUUUCUUUGGGGCCGAAAUAGGAUCGACGGACGUCUAAAAGGGUUAGCUUUGUUUCGGCGGGAAGCCACCGUUAUCGGCGCAAUAUGUACAAUUGCAAAUGACAAUCGUGCUCCAGUAGCAAUGGCCGCGUAAGCAGUCGGAGAUACUGAAAUCUAAGUCCAGGCCUCUUGCUAGGUUUGGCGGGGUUCGUAGGCACCUGGCAACAGAAGCCUACACC
rnacentral:tmRNA from 1 species